GAUGAACGCUGGCGGCGUGCCUAAUACAUGCAAGUCGAGCGAACAGAUGAGGAGCUUGCUCCUCUGACGUUAGCGGCGGACGGGUGAGUAACACGUGGAUAACCUACCUAUAAGACUGGGAUAACUUCGGGAAACCGGAGCUAAUACCGGAUAAUAUAUUGAACCGCAUGGUUCAAUAGUGAAAGACGGUUUUGCUGUCACUCAUAGAUGGAUCCGCGCCGCAUUAGCCAGUUGGUAAGGUAACGGCUUACCAAGGCAACGAUGCGUAGCCGACCUGAGAGGGUGAUCGGCCACACUGGAACUGAGACACGGUCCAGACUCCUACGGGAGGCAGCAGUAGGGAAUCUUCCGCAAUGGGCGAAAGCCUGACGGAGCAACGCCGCGUGAGUGAUGAAGGUCUUCGGAUCGUAAAACUCUGUUAUUAGGGAAGAACAAAUGUGUAAGUAACUAUGCACGUCUUGACGGUACCUAAUCAGAAAGCCACGGCUAACUACGUG
rnacentral:rRNA from 1 species